rnacentral:rRNA from 1 species
UACGUAGGGGGCUAGCGUUGUCCGGAAUCAUUGGGCGUAAAGAGCGUGUAGGCGGUCCGGUAAGUCCGCUGUGAAAGUCGGGGGCUCAACCCUCGAAUGCCGGUGGAUACUGUCGGGCUAGAGUGCGGAAGAGGCGAGUGGAAUUCCUGGUGAUAGCGGUGAAAUGCGCAGAUAUCAGGAGGAACACCUAUUGCGAAGGCAGCUCGCUGGGACGUUACUGACGCUGAGGCGCGAAAGCGUGGGGAGCAAACGGG